UCAGCCAGACUACACACACCUCUGGAAGGCAGAGACGGGGACUUGAACUUCUUUGAACUCACAACAUGGCAAUAUUUAUUGGUCCUAAUACUGUCACUGGCAAGGUGUAUCCUCAAAACUCAGAGCAGAGUCUGGCAUAUGGGGAAGAAAGAAAAAAGGGGAAAAACAAGAGAAAGAGAAAUAGGAGAGAAAAAAAUCCAAAAUUACAUUUAAUCCCCGUCUCUUGUAUCAAAUCAAUUUUGGAAUGAGGUG